rnacentral:rRNA from 1 species
CCUCUUUUAGUAGGGAAGAAGCGAAAGUGACGGUACCUGCAGAAAAAGCACCGGCUAACUACGUGCCAGCAGCCGCGGUAAUACGUAGGGUGCAAGCGUUGUCCGGAAUUAUUGGGCGUAAAGAGCUCGUAGGCGGCUUGUCGCGUCUGCUGUGAAAACCCGGAGCUCAACUCCGGGCCUGCAGUGGGUACGGGCAAGCUAGAGUGCGGUAGGGGAGAUUGGAAUUCCUGGUGUAGCGGUGGAAUGCGCAGAUAUCAGGAGGAACACCGAUGGCGAAGGCAGAUCUCUGGGCCGUAACUGACGCUGAGGAGCGAAAGCAUGGGGAGCGAACAGGAUUAGAUACCCUGGUAGUCCAUGCCGUAAACGUUGGGAACUAGAUGUAGGGCCUGUUCCACGGGUUCUGUGUCGUAGCUAACGCAUUAAGUUCCCCGCCUGGGGAGUACGGCCGCAAGGCUAAAACUCAAAGGAAUUGACGGGGGCCCGCACAAGCGGCGGAGCAUGCGGAUUAAUUCGAUGCAACGCGAAGAACCUUACCAAGGCUUGACAUAUACGAGAACGGGCGAGAGAUCGUCAACUCUUUGGACACUCGUAAACAGGUGGUGCAUGGUUGUCGUCAGCUCGUGUCGUGAGAUGUUCGGUUAAGUCCGGCAACGAGCGCAACCCUCGUCCUAUGUUGCCAGCACG